AGAGUUUGAUCAUGGCUCAGAACGAACGCUGGCGGCGUUAACACAUGCAAGUCGCGUGCNNNGUUUCCGUAGCAAUACGGGGAUGGGCGCACGGNNGCACGGGUGCGUAACACGUGGGCAAUCUGCCCUCCGAUGGGGAAUACCCCCGCGAAAGCGGGACUAAUUCCGCAUAACAUUCCUUGGAUUAACUUUCGAGGAUUCAAAGCAGCAAUGCGUCGGAGGAGGAGCCCGCGCCCGAUUAGCUAGUUGGUGAGGUAACGGCUCACCAAGGCAAUGAUCGGUAGCUGGUCUGAGAGGAUGGCCAGCCACACUGGAACUGAGACACGGUCCAGACUCCUACGGGAGGCAGCAGUGGGGAAUCUUGCACAAUGGGCGAAAGCCUGAUGCAGCGACGCCGCGUGGGGGAUGAAGCUUUUCGGAGUGUAAACCCCUUUCGACUGGGACGAAUGCCUCGCAAGAGGAGUGACGGUACCAGUAUAAGAAGCCCCGGCUAACUACGUGCCAGCAGCCGCGGUAAGACGUAGGGGGCCAGCGUUGUUCGGAAUUACUGGGUGUAAAGGGUUCGUAGGCGGUGUGGCAAGUCGGGAGUGAAAUCUCUGGGCUCAACCCAGAGACUGCUUCCGAAACUGCUGUGCUUGAGUGUGAGAGAGGCUCGUGGAAUUGCAGGUAGCGGUGAAAUGCGUAGAUAUCUGCAGGAACACCCGUGGCGAAAGCGGCGAGCUGGAUCACUACUGACGCUGAGGAACGAAAGCUAGGGGAGCAAACAGGAUUAGAUACCCUAGUAGUCC
rnacentral:rRNA from 1 species